rnacentral:lncRNA from 1 species
CACCACCUCUAACAAGAAUGUGUCCCAAGUACACGGAUGCCGCAUCUGCACUAUCAUUUUCUAUGUUCAGUGGACUGUGAAAAUGGGGUAAAAUUUCUAAUUUGGCAUUAAUAUUAGAAAGAUUAUAUCAUAGGGAAGAUGUUCACUAAGUUUCAAGUUGAUUGGACUUCAACUUCAUCAAAAACUACCUCUACCAAAAACUUUAACCAAAAACUUAACCUGAAGCAGGACGAACGGACAAAUGAACAAACGGAUGCACAGACCAGAAACAUAAUGCCCAUAAAUAGAG